GAAUGAUUGGCGGAGUCAACAGCGACGAAAGAAGAAGGCAUAUUGUGGCUGGUCGCUAGCGACAGAGAGCGCGGCAUCCGAACAACCAAGGAGCCUUCGAUUCCCUUGUUCUGGCGGUAUAUAAUGCAGACAAAGGAUGGAUCAAACUACGCGGCGGUUUGACUCACCCAACCAUGAAGGAGGCAGGACUGCUCAAUUCUCACAUUGUCAUAAGCCUCAAGCCAUGAAGCUCUCACUUGCUUUCACGCUUGUGGUCAUCUUCUUUCUCAACAUCUCACCGUUUGAGGCGAGACCGCUUGGACUUGGUGCGCAUCCCUCUCGACAUUACCAUCUCAGUUCCCAGGAUCGGCAAAGGAACAUCCCUAUCGCCGAUAAGGAAGACCAUCUGCGCCUCUCUCUCCGCUGCCUCGCCAGGGAGCAGCAGAGGAGGCCGGAGAGGCCCUGGUGAGCUACGAAACGGGACGGAGGAGCGGUGACGACGGCAAGGAGGGAGCCGCCCCAGGAACGCCACCGGAUGAUGAGUUGCGCCGGUCAGCAGCGCCGCCGCCGCCGCCGCCACAGGAGCGCAACCCGGCGCGCUAUCGUCAGCCGGCUGGGCGGUGGGGCCCCGUGCCCGGGGUUGGUGGGUCGCGCAGGCCGUCUCUCCCCCCGGCGCCUGGUGUGCCGAAGCCGCCGCACGGGCGCCGUUCAGGUGAUCGGUCCGGCCCGAGGCCGAGGCCGUUCGAUCUGUUCCACGCGCUUCGUGUGUGGAGUAGGAUGUUUGUUUAAAAACCACCGCGUUUUACUGCGUGUAUAUGGUUAGACGUUUUUAUUAAGUUUAUUUUAAACGGAUGAGUUGUGUGUAAGAUUUGUAUUGUUUAAGCAUAGACUUGCAAAGUUCAAUUGAAAUGCAUAGACAAAAUGAAAUGUCGGAUUUUCGGUU